AUUGAACGCUGGCGGCAGGCCUAACACAUGCAAGUCGAGCGAGCGGCGGACGGGUGAGAAAUGUAUGGGGACUGCCCGAUAGAGGGGGAUAACUACUGGAAACGGUGGCUAAUACCGCAUACUAUCGGAUAACCCAUAUGGGAUUAGCUAGUAGGUGGGGUAAAGGCUCACCUAGGCGACGAGCUCUAGCUGGUCUGCGAGGAUGAUCAGCCACGCUGGGACUUAUACACGGCACAGACUCCUACGGAGGCAGCAGUGGGGAGUAUUGCACAAUUGGCGCAAGCCUGAUGCAGCCAUGCCGCGUGUAUGAAGAAGGCCUUAGGGUUGUAAAGUACUUUCAGCGGAGAGGCGUUACCCGCAGAAGAAGCACCGGCUAACUCCGUGCCAGCCGCCGCGGUAAGUC
rnacentral:rRNA from 1 species